rnacentral:tRNA from 2 species
GCCGAUGUGUCGGAAUAGGUUCACGAGGGCGUCUCAAAAACGUCCGCUCAACGGAGCGUCGGGGUUCGAGUCCCCGCAUCGGCACCA